GCGAAAACUCUACAAUGCAGGCAACUGCGAUAGGGGGACAUCGAGUGGCAUCCACCUUGGGUGCCUGUCCCACCGUCUAAAAAACGGUGGUUAGCAAGGGCCGGGUAAGACCGGUGCCAGCCGCCGCGGUAAUACCGGCGGCUCGAGUGGUGGCCGAUAUUAUUGAGUCUAAAGGGUCCGUAGCCGGCUUUGCAAGUCCCCUGGGAAAUCCAGCGGCUUAACCGUUGGUCGUCCAUGGGAUACUACAUUGCUUGGGACUGGGAGAGGUGGGAGGUACUCGGGGGGUAGGGGUGAAAUCCUGUAAUCCUCCGGGGACCACCGGUGGCGAAGGCGUCCUACCAGAACAGGUCCGACGGUGAGGGACGAAAGCUAGGGGCACGAACCGGAUUAGAUACCCGGGUAGUCCUAGCCGUAAACGAUGCCCGCUAGGUGUCACGGCGGUCGUGAAUCGCCGUGGUGCCGUAGGGAAGCCGCGAAGCGGGCCACUUGGGAAGUACGACCGCAAGGUUGAAACU
rnacentral:rRNA from 1 species